rnacentral:tRNA from 1 species
GGUUCCGUAGUGUAGUGGUUAUCACGUUCGCUUCACACGGAAAGGUCCCGGUCGAUCCCGGGCGGAACCA